rnacentral:rRNA from 1 species
UACAGAGGUCUCAAGCGUUUGUUCGGAUUCAUUGGGCGUAAAGGGUGCGUAGGUGGCGCCGUAAGUCAGGUGUGAAAUUUCGGAGCUUAACUCCGAAACUGCAUUUGAUACUGCGGUGCUUGAGGACUGGAGAGGAGACUGGAAUUUACGGUGUAGCAGUGAAAUGCGUAGAGAUCGUAAGGAAGACCAGGUGGCGAAGGCGGGUCUCUGGACAGUUCCUGACACUGAGGCACGAAGGCCAGGGGAGCAAACGGGG